rnacentral:rRNA from 1 species
UACGUAGGGUGCAAGCGUUGUCCGGAAUUAUUGGGCGUAAAGAGCUCGUAGGCGGUUUGUCGCGUCUGCUGUGAAAACUCGGGGCUUAACCCCGGGCCUGCAGUGGGUACGGGCAGACUAGAGUGCGGUAGGGGAGACUGGAAUUCCUGGUGUAGCGGUGAAAUGCGCAGAUAUCAGGAAGAACACCGACGGCGAAGGCAGCUCGCUGGGACGGUACUGACGCUGAGACGCGAAAGCGUGGGGAGCGAACAGG